rnacentral:misc_RNA from 1 species
UGAUCAUUCUUCAAUCCUUGUUAAUAAACAAACACUACUAGUUUUUCUCUGACGAAAAAUGUUAACUUGAGAAAUUUGAUGGGGAGUGAUUAGUAUACUAAUCCCUAUUGUUUCACGCAUGCUCAGAGUUAAAUGUGCACUCUUUAAUAAUCAAGUCCAUUUUGAUGACCAAGAUUUCAUACAGCAGAUAAAGUUGAGUUUUCAGCACGGCUGUGUCUUUACAAAUUUCUAUGGAACACCCUGCACUGAUGCCUUGAGUGUAUGGAACACUCUCUGAUAUCCGACUUUGCAUGCAAGCUCUUUGCCCCUUCAAAAUCUUAGUUUUUGGCACAAUUGAUCAACUGAUUCAAGUGAUGUGAUAAUUCAGUUGUGGUUAGUGAUAGCACUUUCUGUUUUCAUUUAAGUCGUUUAUGAAAUUUCUGUAUUUCUUAAGUCACCAAUCUGCCAUCUGCCGCUUCCUUUAUGCUCAACGCAUCAACCCUUUGUCUCCUACAUAAGUUGUCGCGAGAAAAAGCUUAAUUUCACCAUGCGCUCUGGAUGCCAACAGCAUUAGCUAAUUGUUGCUAGUAGCUUGUUCAUUUUGCAUUUCCCCCUUGUUUAAUCAAUUAGAAAGAAAAAAAAAAGAGUUGUUAUGCAACAAAUGAACUAAAGUGAUAAUGGGAUAGAUUGAUUUAUAUAUGUGAGGAUCUUGAAGAAAGAAAAUUCUAUAUUCCAUAGAAAAUUUCCAGUACCAUGUCGUGAUUUUUACAGUUAGGAGGAACUAGAAAGGCUAUUGUGUAUCAUCUCAGAAAGUAUGUCUAAUCUUCAUAUCUUCAUACAUACGUAUGCAAGUAUGCAAGAUGUGCGUGGUAUAUUCUAUAACCCGUCUGUCCAUAAAAUUUCCGCAUUGCAAUUUUUCCAUCGCAUUGUGGGUUCAACUCUCAACUCUUACAACCAACAUAGCAAGUCUUCAUGUUUUAACAACUUCUGGUUGUUUGCAUUAAAUCUACUCCUCAGGGGGGCCUUUCAACAAAGAAUUGGAACUAGCUUCUGCUGGAGUCUCAGAUAUUCUUGCUUCUGAUUUUUCAUUUGAAUAUCUGGCAAAGAGAAAAGAUUACCAUGCCAGAACAAAACUGAGAUCAAGUGGAAGCAAACAAGAUGGCUAAAAUAUGUUUCCUCUAAAUACUAUCCACACACACUGGUAUCUUAUACACAACUUAAGGCAGUUAUUAAGAUUCCAAUUUCCAAAGCUUUCUAUGGCAGCGUCACUGCUGGGACCACUGAAAAAAUGCAGCAUGCAGCUUUAACUUUUCCAAAUCAGAAUUUACUGGAGAAGGAACGAAGACAACUGAACAACCCUAAGACCUAAGAUUCUCCUCUUCCUUAACAAGAGUUCGGAUUACAUAAACAUCCGCAUAUUGGCCAGAAGAAUUUAGCUUUUCUUUUUUUUUUGGAAAAAUUACUCUUUUAAUUUUUCAAUUCUUCCCUUUUUAAGAAAAUGCAGUUUAAGUCCUUCAGUUAUAAAAAAAACUCAUUACUAGUCCCCAAAAAUAAUCCAAAACAUCUCAUUUUGGACCAUUAAAGAAUCAAAAUAUUAUGUCUCUAGAAAAGAAAGUGCCUAAAUUCCACAAUAAUUCAUAACACUACUUACGUUGAGAGUAUUGUCACCCAAAUAAGUUCUACACAGUCCACCCAAAGAAGCCUUUGUUCUACUGGAAUCACACCAUAUGUAAUAAGAUGAGCAAAAGGCCACAGUUUCCACCCUGCCUGCACAACAGAACACAUCAAAGAAGAUAAAAUUAAGAUAUCUAUUCACUAAAAAGCUUCCCUGCCUGACUACAGGCCACAUCAUCAAGUACAGAGAAAAGGUCACGAUGUUUACAGUUAGCAUUGGCCAGAAUGUAGCCUUUAAUUCACUAAAAAUGUUGGCGGGAGAUUCCAGACGUAGAAAUCCCAAUGCUGUAUAAUAGAUGCUGUUCCAAACUGCUGCCCAUGCAGUUUGGUCAAAGGCCACUUUGGCAGGAACCACCCACCAGUCUUGAAAUGGAAAAAGCUCCUCACAAAACUGGUAGUAGUAAUGUGAAAGAGAGCCAUGUAAUGUAAAGCCAACAAGGCCUGAUCUAAACAUUCGUGCUCGAUCAAACUCAAAGAGUGGUUUACCUUCAAAACACUGUGCAAUCCAAUCCCCUACAGAAUAGACCACUCCACUGAUCAUCAUUUUUGCUAAAACUGGAUUUGUCUUAAGAGCCUCCCCGUAAGCACUCCAAUUGUGUUGAGGGGCAUAUCUCAGUAUCUCAUAAAAGGUCCACCCCUAAGAAAAAAGCAAAGGAACAAGACAUGAAAUAAAAUAUGUUAACAACUAUAGAUAUCUAGCAAUCCAACAGCAAAUAAAACACAUCCAACUAUGUUCACUUUACAAUAAUUGUAGUAAUGGAAAUAUUCUUGGAUGAAAUUCCCAAUAUUCCUGAUAUAAAAUCAUCCUAAAUGCCCAAAAGGCAGCACCUGUGAGACAUCUGACCCAGUUAUAGGUCAGACCCAAAGAUUAGGACUCAGAUAUGAGUGAGUUUAGCAGCCAACUUAUGAGGCAUGGACACCGUACCACUCACCAAGUUGGAUGCAAAUCCCAAAUUGAUGCCUAUAAAAAGGGGAUCAACAGGUACGCUUAUACAACCUAAUUGAAUAUUAACUCUUAGAUUUCCUCUACUGAAAGCGAAAGAAUCCUGUUUCCUCUCAAUGAAAGCUCACAGUGAAACGUCAAAACAAGCAACUGUGAAUUAAUUCAGUCACUCUACCACAAUAGCAUCUGUUAAACCAUUAGUACCAUUAAUCUUGGAUUUUUCCAUUAUUGCCUCAACCAUAAUACUCGUAGAACUCUCAGUCUUCCCAUAAGAACUUCAGCAUUCACCAAAUCAGUACCAAACUGCACAUUAACCAAUGUUAUUUAGUCAAAACAUCUAAUCAUUUCAGCUCAUGUAGCCAACAUCCUCUUACAACCAUUAAGUUUUCUGCCUUUUCUUUAUAUAUAAUCCAACCUCAUUGGUAAUGCAACUAAUCCUUUUGAAUUAGCCCUGUUCCAGUUUACCUUUGCAGCUAGCACAUCUCAUUAUUUCACUCAUAGAGCAACAGAUAAAAAUUCUAAGCAUCGUAUUACAAAAUCUUCAGCUUCGUUGUCAGUAUUGCAACCACUUCAGAGCAUCUUUUAACCAAUUAGACAUCUAAGGCUCCAUUAAAUUAACUUGCUUCUUUGGAUUUUGCUAUCAUGGAAGCCAAGAAGAAAGUAAUACUUGAUUAGAAUACAACAGGCAGGCAGUAUUUACACAGCACAAGGGAAAUCUUAGGUUCAAUAUAAAAUACCACAUCAUAGAUCAAAGGAAAUUUUCCAAAAGCUAAUAAUGAUAAAAGCAACAAAUUCGACUUGCUCCAAUGCAAGGCGAAAAAGAGAUUGAAGAAAUUCUUGAUUUGUCCAAAGAUCUACUAUGAUGAAGAAAAUUCUAAAGAAAAGAAUGAUAAAAAUGGGGAGCUUUUACAAUGUUCUAAACCUAAGUCAACAAAAACAAGUUUCAUACAACAUCACAACAGUAAAAAAAAUGCCCAUAGCACAUAAAGAAACUAAUUAAGCUAACAUAAAAUAAAGUAACACCAAAACAUUAACAGUAUCGCCCAUAAAAUUAGAACAAAAGGCCUCAAUAAUUGCUAUUGCAACAUAAAUCAAAAUUAGUAUACAAGCAACACAUAUACACAUGAUUUCCAUGUACUUACGUGCCAGUAAUCAUGAUCAAUUGUAAGCAACUUGGUUAUGGCAUAAGAACCAGCAGCAAGAACAAUCAUUGCGUUUAUAGUCCUAUCAAUUAAUCUAUCCAUUUCGGAUUCGCUCUGUCUCCCUCCAUCAUCUCCAAUACCAGAACUAGAAGGAGAAGAAAACCCCUCAAAAGACAGUUGCCCCUCAUUCGAUCCAAACCCGCUAACUUGAGUCGCCAACUCAGUCCCUUCGCUCUCUACCUGACUCACCGCCAUCCCUUCUUGCUGGUCCGUGCUGUCUCUACUCUGUACUGGGAUAACAUCAAGCUCUUCUUGCACAACGGAGUUCAAGAACCAACUCUCAAUUCUACGUUUGCUUCUAGAGAAAAUUGGGCUCUCACGAUAUUUUGAGCCGAGAAAAUUCGAGUUGGGAAGGGUUUUCGCGGUGGCUUUUUUGGAUUUGGAAAGAGGAAGGAGACUAUGGGGAGAAAUGGUGUGGAGAGAAGCCAUAGGCAGCCAACUGAGUUGAGUUGAACGAGUUACCUAUCUAACUAAGUGUUCGUUUCUCCGAGUUGGACUGCGAGGGAAGCGAGCUUAUAUUGGUGGGUUCAUGAUCUUCUGUGCUAUUGAGAACGAAAUAAUGUCGCACACUUUUUUGUUUACAAUGAUAAACGGUAAUGAUGAUGUC